CACAUGCAAGUCGAGGGGCAGCAUAUUUAUAGCAAUAUARAUGAUGGCGACCGGCGCACGGGUGAGUAACACGUAUCCAACCUCCCUUUUACUCGGGRAUAGCCUUUCGAAAGAAAGAUUAAUACCCGAUAGUAUAUGGUUUUCUCAUGAAGACYYUAUUAAAGAAUUUCGGUAAAAGAUGGGGAUGCGUUCCAUUAGGCAGUUGGCGGGGUAACGGCCCACCAAACCUACGAUGGAUAGGGGUUCUGAGAGGAAGGUCCCCCACAUUGGAACUGAGACACGGUCCAAACUCCUACGGGAGGCAGCAGUGAGGAAUAUUGGUCAAUGGGCGAGAGCCUGAACCAGCCAAGUAGCGUGAAGGAUGACUGCCCUAUGGGUUGUAAACUUCUUUUAUAAGGGAAUAAAGUGRRGKAYGURUMCYYYUUUGUAUGUACCUUAYGAAUAAGGAUCGGCUAACUCCGUGCCAGCAGCCGCGGUAAUACGGAGGAUCCRAGCGUUAUCCGGAUUUAUUGGGUUUAAAGGGAGCGUAGGUUGACAUAUAAGUCAGCUGUGAAAGUUUACGGCUCAACCGUGAAAUUGCAGUUGAUACUGUAUGUCUUGAGUGUACAAGAGGUGGGCGGAAUUCGUGGUGUAGCGGUGAAAUGCUUAGA
rnacentral:rRNA from 1 species